rnacentral:tRNA from 1 species
GCCCCGGUAGCUCAGCUGGAUAGAGCGUCCCCCUCCUAAGGGGAAGGUCAGAGGUUCGAAUCCUCUCCGGGGCGCCA